rnacentral:tRNA from 1 species
GGUGAUUGAUAGCUCAGUGGUAGAGUGCUUGCCUAGCACAUGUGAGGCCCUGGGUUUGAUCCUCAGCACCA